rnacentral:misc_RNA from 1 species
AAGUUCAAAUUAAAUUUUUCUCCCCAAAACUUUAUAAAUUUUAUUUCUAUUCAAAUAAUAACCAUAUGUAAUGUUUCUUCAAAAAUUGGGGUGUUACAAAAGGUGACCUCCUUUCAUAGCAGCAAGAAAAUUUAAAGAGGGAUAAUAAACACCCUUUAAUAUUUUUGCCCAAAGAGAAUGGGGAUUUAAAAGCAAUCUCCAAGCUUGCUUCCCUAACAAAGAAAGAUUAAAUAAGGAUAAAACCAAUGCCCCUAUCCCUCUUACUCCAUGAUAGCUUUUGCCAAUUUAAGCAAUGAACGUUCGCUUUAUCAAAAGUGUUCCUCCACCAAAAUUUAGUUGAUAAUUGAUGGAAAUCAUUAAUGAUAGACAACAAAAGCUUGAAAACAGACAUGAAAUAAGAUGGAAUAGCUUGGAUUACCGCUUUAAGCAUAAUCUCCUUCCCCUCAUGUGACAAAAAUCUACUCUUCCACCCUUGUAGCUUCUGGAUGAGUCUUUCAUUCAAAAAAGCAAGUGCCUAGGAUUUGGAUCGACUCCAAGACGCAGGAAGACCAAGGUAGUUUAAGAGUAAUCUGGAGUUUGGAAUGUUGAGCACUUUAACUAUUUGUUCCUAGACCAGUAAUGAGGUGUUUUGAUAAAAGGUUAAAUCAGACUUUCUUUGAUUUAUAGACUGGCUAGAAGCUGCACUAUACUCCUCCAGAAUCUACUUCAAUUAGUUAGCUUCUUGCACCGAAGCUUGACCAAAAAGGAUAGUAUCAUCCGCGAAUAGCAAGUGGGUGAGAGUUGGACAAUGUCUACUAAUUUGAUACCCUAUGAGCUACCGACUUUGAAGAGCCUGCUCCAUCAUUU